rnacentral:rRNA from 1 species
UUCUGGCUCAGAAUAAACGCUGGCGGCGUGCCUAACACAUGCAAGUCGAACGGAUGAAGGGAGCAAUCCCGAUUCAGUGGCGGACGGGUAGUAACGCGUGAGGAACCUGCCUUCAGAGGGGGAUAGCAGUUGGAAACGACUGAUAAUACCGCAUAAGACCACAGCGCCGCAUGACGCAGGGGUCAAAGGAGCAAUCCGCUGAAAGAUGGACUCGCGUCCGAUUAGAUAGUUGGUGAGGUAACGGCCCACCAAGUCGACGAUCGGUAGCCGGGCUGAGAGGCUGGACGGCAACAUUGGGACUGAGACACGGCCCAGACUCCUACGGGAGGCAGCAGUGAGGGAUAUUGCACAAUGGACGAAAGUCUGAUGCCAGCAACGCCGCGUGAGGGACGACGGUUUUCGGAUUGUAAACCUCUGUCCUUGGUGAAGAUAAUGACGGUAGCCAAGGAGGAAGCAACGGCUAAUUACGUGCCAGCAGCUGC